rnacentral:lncRNA from 1 species
CUCUCAUUUGCUGGCAGGAGUCACCAGGCAUCACAUGGAUUAUAUUCCUUCAUAUGAUUAAAUAAGCAUCUUCAUUCACAGAACCUGAAAAGCGGCAGGCAUCAGAAUGGCAUCUAGGACAGCUCUCCUGUCUACCCAAGGCUGCAGAAAAGUGGGCCUCUAUCCCUGGAAAAACUGUGCCAUGUUGACAGAAAAGUGGAAAUGAAGAGGACUGCAGCCUUGCCAUCAUAGAAAGCCUGGAUGAAGUUCUGGUUAUUUUCCAGACGAGGACUCUGCUUCACCUACCACCAUUAGCAGGCCAUGCUGUCCUCGUACCCCUCUGAAGAAGUUGUCUACAUGUAAUUCCCCAAUACACUGAGAUGGGGAGCUGAUCAGGACGUGGUGAGUGGCCGAGAAGCUAAUGGACUGUGGGUUAAGAAAGUUCAAAAGGGAAGCCCUUAGCUUAGCAGAAGGGGAUAAAAAGAGGAAAGGCAUAGAGGAAGAGGAAUAACCCUGGUAGGAGAUUAGGCCUCAUCUUAAGUCUUGUGUCCAAUUGUUGUCAUAUAGAGGAAGGUCAAACUGUUCUUGAUCAUCCCAGAAUGCAGGACACGUCAUAAUGGGCUCAAAUUACAGGAAGAUUUCAGUGGAAUACCAGGAAAAAAAAUCCUAAAUAUGAGAGUAGUAUGGCAAUGUAACCAAUUACCUCCGGAGGUAGUGAGCACUCAAGGC